rnacentral:lncRNA from 1 species
GCCUUGACAAGGAGCUCUCCUGCUUCGGCCACCUGGCCCCGGCCCAAGGAAAUUGUGGACAUGUGGUGUGUUGUUCCUUUCAACUCUUGCGCAAAUCUCAGGAUGAUAUUGGUGAGGUGAAGCCCUGCAUGACCUGUGGAGAGGCAACGAAAAAAUCCCUUUGACUUGACACCUUCAGCACUGUUCAGUAAAGUCUGAUUCACCUGAAGAUGCAGAAGCUAAACAGCUUGCUGGAGACGGCCGAGCUUCUGGGGGCAGUGGGGAC